AUUAUAAUAUUUCAUAAUCUAAAAACUUCCUUUUUAAUUCUUGGAAGAGAAUAUUCCAGCUUCCAGACAACUGACCAACCCUGUAAAAUACUGGAAAAUGGUGUCUAAGAAAUCUGAAUUUUGUAGUUAAGAAUCUGUAACCUAGUUUGGGGGGAGGGGUGGGGAAGAAUGAAAGAACAGUUCAAAUACAGAUCUUUUUUCGGUGCAAAACAAAUUAGAUCCAUUUUUCAGUUUAACCUUGAACAUGUUUUCCCAGAAACUUUGGUUUUUCUUCCAAAGAGAAACUCUAAGGUUGGCUUCCCAUGUGGACAAAAUUUUUUUUUUAAAUAAGACCCAAGUGACACAUGCCACACGGCUCAGGCCAUGGCAUGUAAGUGGGAUACCCUUCCGAGUGAGCCAGCUUCCACGUUCCAUAGCAAACAAAGUUAUGUGUCUAAUGCAUUUCUUGUGAGAGGGUCAGACUUUAGUUGAAAUUUAAAAAAAUUUGUUUGUAACAUAAUAAAUCUUAAAAUCAUUGUCUUGUGUAAUGUACAUAGAGUAGAUAUGCCGUUAUGGUGCUUUCUGGAGAUCACUGGGUACCACAGUCAAAGAGAGCUUGCCCUCUAGCAUGUUAAAUGGACUUUGAAAAUGUGUUUUCACUAAAUAAAAUGAGAAAAACAAGUCUGGUUAUACCACCUUUAAAAACAAGCUGUGAUUGCACACAUGUUACGGGGACAAUUAGCAUGCAAUACAACCAACAAGUCAAUUUUUUAGUAUGUAAAAGGCUAAAGUGAAAUCAUGGUAUAAAUACCAAUAAUAAGUAAUCUUGGGGAAGAUUAAUUCUCUAAAUUAAUCAUAUAAUAUUACAAUUUUUACAAUGUUAGCCAGAACAGUGAUAUGCACAGCAAUGUUUUCUUCCACUUGAUAGUUGCCUAUACACCACAUGAAUUGCCCACACCCAUGAGUCAAAAGUCAAAGCCAAGAUUCAAAAAUCAACAUUUUCACUGUAACAGGUUAAAAAUGUUUAUAUAAUGAUAAGUUACACUUUUCAACUUACUGUCAUUUUAAGUAAUUGCUUAAUUACCUAUUUUUAAUGCACUGCUAAUCUGAUGCUUAUUGUAAUAACAACCAUAAUUCUACUAAUGUUAAUUAGGUUACAGUUUUAAUUUUUAAAAUGAGAGAAUUCAAUUUACAUAAGCAUACAUUGUUUAAAAACCACCCAUCACAAACACACACCUUUUCCAUGAGUAUUUAAAAAUAAAUUAAUAUACUUGACAUAUAUAUUUUAUAUGUUAUAUAUAUAUAUAUAUAUAUGUAUAUAUUUGUGGACAUAAUUAUUCUUACUUCUGGAAGGAUGUCAGCACUUGUAAACUCUGCAGGAGAUCUGAUGAUAACACUAAGUUUAAAAACAUGAAAAUUCAUUCUUGAAGAAAAUCAUAAAGCAGGAGGUUCUUAACAGAUGGGUCUUUUGGAAAUAAAGGCCAUUUUAGGGCAGGAGAGGAGGACAGUCUCAGAUUCCAGAUCCCACAUGUACUGUUUAUUUCAGAAGCUACUUUAGGAAGCAGUGCACAAUGACACUUCAGACAGCUGGCUGAAAGGUAACAGCAUAUAUUUUAAUCCUGAAAGGGCACAGAAGCAGCAGGAGGUGGGCAAGGUAGGCCAGCAAGGAGAAAGCCAUGCCUGCAGCCCACAGAGAGGCCGUGGACAUGCCAGGGGAAGGCCUUGGGAAAGGGCUGCGUGUCUCCAGGAUGGCUCACAACGCACUGCACAUGCAAUUCGUUGACGUCCAACCAUUCAGACCCUGAGCCCGUGAUGUGUUUUAUGUCCUCCUGCAACCACAGCGAUAGAGACAGCUGUUAAGAUAGAGGCUGGAGCAUGGUGUUAGGGUGCAGAACACCCAGCCAAAGAAGACAGCAGAGGUGCACCAAAGUCUCAACAAACAUGCAUCCUGGGAA